GAGGUGGCGGGGAACGACGGCCAUGGUCGAGGUCGGCUAGGGCCUGGACGGUACAAGAUGCUCGCGAGGUUCUACCGGUAUGGUCACAGAAGUCUGUGUCGAGUUGUGGCCGCUGCGGAAGCAGAGGGGAAUACUACUAGAAUCGGUGGAGGGCAGCAGGGGAGGGGCGUCGUGGGCGAGGAGGUGGCAGGUUCAGGUGGAGCGACACCGUAGCGAUUGAAGACUCGGGGAGUGACAUGGAGCGGCGAUCAUCGGAGUGGGCGGCACAGAUUCUUCUUCGCCCAUGCUCUCCUCUGCCACGGGCUCCUAGGGGUCGAGCUCUUCGGCGGCCGGUGGCCGUGGCGUGGGUCAGGAUGUUGAGCCAGCGACAUCAACACCUUAAAUACAUAGAGGAGAAGGAGGAGGAGGUAGCUAGCUGUAGCUCGCCGGCACAAGAGGAUGCCGCGGCGUCGCGCUGGUGCAAGGGAACGAGGCGGGGCCGCGUGGCCGCGUGGGUGACUGUUACGCUCGGAUCCUUGAUGGCGUGUGAUUGACAACUCAGAUCGGUCAGGUUAUAUCGUUGAGCACCUAGGUACUAGGCUGAGAACAAUGAUCCAGGGCGAAUAGGAGCUGCUUCUAGCUAGCACUCACUUGGUUAAAUUGGGAAAUAUUUAAACUACUCUAGGGCGUGUUUGGAAGUCCUCCAGCUUCCGGCUUCCUGAAACUCCAGGGUGUAACACUGCCAAAAAGUCUAGCUUCACGGAUCAUAUAGGAAGCUAACCCAAUUUAAUGUACAAAUAUACAUUUAUAAGUGGAUCUGAUUAAAGGGGCAUUGGCACCAUUCCCAUCUCCAUGGAAGAGCAAUGAUGUGCAUCAACUGGUUAUAGAGAGAUCUGAGGUUGUGACUUCCUUACUCUAGCAUCCAAAGAGUAUCAAGUUGUUUAUGAUUUUCCUAUUGCCAUUUUUUACUUCUGCCAACUGUUGUAUUUCUGGAGAAGAAAAUGCAUUUGGGUCUGCGUGUGCUGAUGUGCAGGUUGAUUCGAACAAGGUACACGAGUUUGUGAAAGUUUUAUCAUGUAUGCAUGAUGAUUUUGAUCCAAGGCCUCAAUUUUGUACCAACAUAAUCUUGAAAAAUAAAUUAAAGGUGAAUUCUCUGUUUUAGGUCGGAUCUUAUACUAACUGUGGCAAUUCCUCGCAAUUGUCAGAUUAUGGUCUUGCCGUAUCUGCUAAUUAAGGGAUAUCCAUGUUAUUACAUAUAGAGAAAAAUGUUGCUACAUAUAGUGUCGUUAUCUUAAUUUUUAGCAAGCUAACUCCAAGGACACCUGAAUCAACGAGGUGAGAUAUUCUCAUAUGUGUCCUAAAUUUCUACAUCUUAAGGGAUAUCCAUGUUCUUACAUAUAGAGAAAAAUGUUGCUACAUAUAGUGUCGUUAUCUUAAUUUUUUAGCAAGCUAACUCCGAGGACACCUGAAUAAACGAGGUGAGAUAUUCUCAUAUGUGUCCUAAAUUUCUACAUCAAUCCUUUUUUUUCUUUCGCCUGCCUUGCUAUCUCCAUUUAUUUAU